rnacentral:rRNA from 1 species
GAUGAACGCUGGCGGCGUGCCUAAUACAUGCAAGUCGAGCGAACGGACGAGAAGCUUGCUUCUCUGAUGUUAGCGGCGGACGGGUGAGUAACACGUGGAUAACCUACCUAUAAGACUGGGAUAACUUCGGGAAACCGGAGCUAAUACCGGAUAAUAUUUUGAACCGCAUGGUUCAAAAGUGAAAGACGGUCUUGCUGUCACUUAUAGAUGGAUCCGCGCUGCAUUAGCUAGUUGGUAAGGUAACGGCUUACCAAGGCAACGAUGCAUAGCCGACCUGAGAGGGUGAUCGGCCACACUGGAACUGAGACACGGUCCAGACUCCUACGGGAGGCAGCAGUAGGGAAUCUUCCGCAAUGGGCGAAAGCCUGACGGAGCAAAGCCGCGUGAGUGAUGAAGGUCUUCGGAUCGUAAAACUCUGUUAUUAGGGAAGAACAUAUGUGUAAGUAACUGUGCACAUCUUGACGGUACCUAAUCAGAAAGCCACGGCUAACUACGUGCCAGCAGCCGCGGUAAUACGUAGGUGGCAAGCGUUAUCCGGAAUUAUUGGGCGUAAAGCGCGCGUAGGCGGUUUUUUAAGUCUGAUGUGAAAGCCCACGGCUCAACCGUGGAGGGUCAUUGGAAACUGGAAAACUUGAGUGCAGAAGAGGAAAGUGGAAUUCCAUGUGUAGCGGUGAAAUGCGCAGAGAUAUGGAGGAACACCAGUGGCGAAGGCGACUUUCUGGUCUGUAACUGACGCUGAUGUGCGAAAGCGUGGGGAUCAAACAGGAUUAGAUACCCUGGUAGUCCACGCCGUAAACGAUGAGUGCUAAGUGUUAGGGGGUUUCCGCCCCUUAGUGCUGCAGCUAACGCAUUAAGCACUCCGCCUGGGGAGUACGACCGCAAGGUUGAAACUCAAAGGAAUUGACGGGGACCCGCACAAGCGGUGGAGCAUGUGGUUUAAUUCGAAGCAACGCGAAGAACCUUACCAAAUCUUGACAUCCUUUGACAACUCUAGAGAUAGAGCCUUCCCCUUCGGGGGACAAAGUGACAGGUGGUGCAUGGUUGUCGUCAGCUCGUGUCGUGAGAUGUUGGGUUAAGUCCCGCAACGAGCGCAACCCUUAAGCUUAGUUGCCAUCAUUAAGUUGGGCACUCUAAGUUGACUGCCGGUGACAAACCGGAGGAAGGUGGGGAUGACGUCAAAUCAUCAUGCCCCUUAUGAUUUGGGCUACACACGUGCUACAAUGGACAAUACAAAGGGCAGCGAAACCGCGAGGUCAAGCAAAUCCCAUAAAGUUGUUCUCAGUUCGGAUUGUAGUCUGCAACUCGACUACAUGAAGCUGGAAUCGCUAGUAAUCGUAGAUCAGCAUGCUACGGUGAAUACGUUCCCGGGUCU